rnacentral:rRNA from 1 species
AUGGCCAUCCAGCAUCUCCUCAUCGUCGUCUUCAUGGCUUCCAUCCUCCAAGCGGCCACCUGCGACACAGCGUACAACUUGGUGAAAAACAACUUCCCGCAGGCUCUCCUGGCUCUGGGCGUGAAGUCGUACGUGAACCAUGGGGGCGCCGUUGAGGUGACCCUCCCCGCCUCGUGCGACUUCAACGUGACGGUUGCCGGCGGACAACACACGAUUCGGUUUGACAUCAUAGUCAGUGGGGUUAUCCGGCCCGGAUCCAUAACCCAAUUGGGCGGCGUGAGGAUAUAGGUGAAAUGGGAUUUUCUUGCAUUUCAAAAGGUUCAACGCGUCGGUGACAAGCUCAGGUUUACUGGCAGUGAGCAUGCAGCCACGUUCGACCAGUCCUUUCAGGUUAGCAACUUCGUAUAGAGCCCCAGGUGCAGCUAA